UCUCGUUUGUUUGCGUUCCCGUUAAUGAGGUUUGGCGUUCCCUUGGGUUCUCGUUCAUUUGGGUUGUCAUUAAUUAGGGGUUCCCAUUAAUUUAGGCACCCGUUAAUGGUGGUUCCCAUUAAUUGGAGGUUCCCAUUAAUUGGGGUCCCCCCUUGACUUGGGUUGCCGUUGAUGUGGGUUCUCUUUCAUUUGCAUUUCCAUUCCUGUCAUUUGCCAUUAUCGUGGGUUCUCAUUAAUUUGGGUUCUCGUUCAUUUGGACCCCUGUUAAUAUGUUUCCCAUUAAUUUGGGCCCCUGUAAAUUGGGUUCCCAUUAAUUUAGGCCCCCAUUAAUUGGGUUCCCAUUAAUUGGGGAUCCCAUUAAUUGGCGUCCCCCCUUCACUUGAGCCGCCAUCGAUGUGGAUUCUCAUUCAUUUGCAUUCUUGUUAAUGCCAUUUUUCAAUAUCUGGGUUCUUGUUAAUUUGUAUUCUCAUUAAUUUGGGCACCCGUUCAUUGAGAUCCCAUUAAUUGGGGUUCCCGUUAAUUGGGGUCCCCCCUCCACUUGGGCCACUGUUGACAUGGAUUCUAAUUGGUUUGCGUUUCCUUUCAUGUCGUUUGCCAUUAACUUGGGUUCUCAUUAAUUUGGGUUCUUGUUCAUUUGGGCCCCCGUUAACUAGGUUCCCAUUAAUUGGGGUUCCCGUUAAUUGGGGUCCCACCUCGACUUGGGUUGCCGUUGAUGUGGGUUCUCAUUCGUUUGCGUAUCGAUUCAUGUCAUUUGCCAUGAACUUGGGUUCUCUUCAAUUUGGGUUCUUGUUCAUUUGGGCCCCCGUUAAUUGGGUUCCCAUUAAUUUAGGCCCCCAUUAAUUGGGUUCCCAUUAAUUGGGGAUCCGAUUAAUUGGGGUUUCCCCUUCACUUGGGCUGCCGUUGAUGUGUGUUCUCGUUCAUUUCUGUUCUUGUUAAUGAGGUUUGCCAAUCACUUGGGUUCUCAUUAAUUUGGGUUCUCACUAAUUAGGGGUUCCCCUUAAUUUAGGCCCCCAUUAAUUGGCGUUUCCCGUUAAUUGGGGAUCCCCCUUGACUUGGGUUGCCGUUGACGUGGAUUCUCGUUCAUUUGCGUUUCCAUUCAUGUCCUUUGCCAUUAACGUGGGUUCUCUUCAGUUUGGGUUCUUGUUCAUUUGGUCCCCCGUUGACUGGGUUCCCAUUAAUUGGGGUCCCCAUUAAUUGGGUUCCCAUUAAUUGGGGAUCCCGUUAAUUGGCAUCCCCCCUUCACUUGAGCCGCCAUUGACGUGGGUUCUCGUUCAUUUGCGUUUCCAUUCAUGUCCUUUGCCAUGAACUUGGGUUCUCUUCAGUUUGGGUUCUCGUUCAUUUGGGCCCCUGUUAAUUGGGGUUCCCGUUAAUUGGGGUUCCCGUUAAUUGGGGUCCCCCUUGACUUGGGUCAGCAUUGACAUGGAUUCUCGUUUCUUUGCGUUUCCAUUUGUGUCAUUUGCCAUUAACUUGGGUUCUCUUCAAUUUGGGUUCUCGUUCACUUGGGCCCCCGUUGACUGGGUUCCCAUUAAUUGGGGUCCCCAUUAAUUGGGUUCCCAUUAAUUGGGGAUCCCAUUAAUUGGCGUCCCCCCUUCACUUGAGCCGCCGUUGACGUGGAUUCUCAUUCAUUUGCAUUUCCAUUCAUGUCCUUUGCCAUGAACGUGGGUUCUCUCCAAUUUGGGUUCUCGUUCACUUGGGCCCCCGUUGACUGGGUUCCCAUUAAUUGGGGUUCCCGUUAAUUGGGGUUCCCGUUAAUUGGGGUCCCCCCUUGUCAGGGGGAGCUGCGCAUCAGCGUCCUGCCCGCCGCGCUCUCCUACGACGCGCCGUGGCCCGUCCGCAAGAUCCCGCUGCGCUGCACCGCGCACUACGUCGCCUACCACGUCGAGUCCAAGGUGUACGCGGUGGCCACGAGCGUGAGCAACGCGUGCACGCGCAUCCCACGCAUGACGGG